rnacentral:rRNA from 1 species
GAUGAACGCUGGCGGCGUGCCUAAUACAUGCAAGUCGAGCGAACGGACGAGAAGCUUGCUUCUCUGAUGUUAGCGGCGGACGGGUGAGUAACACGUGGAUAACCUACCUAUAAGACUGGGAUAACUUCGGGAAACCGGAGCUAAUACCGGAUAAUAUUUUGAACCGCAUGGUUCAAAAGUGAAAGACGGUCUUGCUGUCACUUAUAGAUGGAUCCGCGCUGCAUUAGCUAGUUGGUAAGGUAACGGCUUACCAAGGCAACGAUGCAUAGCCGACCUGAGAGGGUGAUCGGCCACACUGGAACUGAGACACGGUCCAGACUCCUACGGGAGGCAGCAGUAGGGAAUCUUCCGCAAUGGGCGAAAGCCUGACGGAGCAACGCCGCGUGAGUGAUGAAGGUCUUCGGAUCGUAAAACUCUGUUAUUAGGGAAGAACAUAUGUGUAAGUAACUGUGCACAUCUUGACGGUACCUAAUCAGAAAGCCACGGCUAACUACCUGCCAGCAGCCGCGGUAAUACGUAGGUGGCAAGCGUUAUCCGGAAUUAUUGGGCGUAAAGCGCGGCGUAGGCGGUUUUUUAGUCUGAUGUGAAAGCCCACGGCUCAACCGUGGAGGGUCAUUGGAAACUGGAAAACUUGAGUGCAGAAGAGGAAAGUGGAAUUCCAUGUGUAGCGGUGAAAUGCGCAGAGAUAUGGAGGAACACCAGUGGCGAAGGCGACUUUCUGGUCUGUAACUGACGCUGAUGUGCGAAAGCGUGGGGAUCAAACAGGAUUAGAUACCCUGGUAGUCCACGCCGUAAACGAUGAGUGCUAAGUGUUAGGGGGUUUCCGCCCCUUAGUGCUGCAGCUAACGCAUUAAGCACUCCGCCUGGGGAGUACGACCGCAAGGUUGAAACUCAAAGGAAUUGACGGGGACCCGCACAAGCGGUGGAGCAUGUGGUUUAAUUCGAAGCAACGCGAAGAACCUUACCAAAUCUUGACAUCCUUUGACAACUCUAGAGAUAGAGCCUUCCCCUUCGGGGGACAAAGUGACAGGUGGUGCAUGGUUGUCGUCAGCUCGUGUCGUGAGAUGUUGGGUUAAGUCCCGCAACGAGCGCAACCCUUAAGCUUAGUUGCCAUCAUUAAGUUGGGCACUCUAAGUUGACUGCCGGUGACAAACCGGAGGAAGGUGGGGAUGACGUCAAAUCAUCAUGCCCCUUAUGAUUUGGGCUACACACGUGCUACAAUGGACAAUACAAAGGGCAGCGAAACCGCGAGGUCAAGCAAAUCCCAUAAAGUUGUUCUCAGUUCGGAUUGUAGUCUGCAACUCGACUACAUGAAGCUGGAAUCGCUAGUAAUCGUAGAUCAGCAUGCUACGGUGAAUACGUUCCCGGGUCU